CUGAAUUCUGACGUUCCAACCGUCAGUUUAUCCUCGGCGCGGCGAGAGGUAGCAAAAUGUCAAGUCGUGAUAUGUUGCUGGCGUUUUCUGAAGAAUUUUUAUCAGCUGUUGGUGACGUCAUAAAGUGUCUGUUCAUGAGUUACAACGUAACCAAACUGUCGCAGUCAUAUCUGAAUGAGUUUGAUUAUGCUGUGACCAAGCUUCUUGAUCUUCGGGAUGGUAUUCGCUUGUGUCGUGUUAUGGAAAUAAUACUGCAAGACGAAACCAUCAUGUCAAAGCUUAGAGCACCGGCUUGGUCAACACAAUGUAGGACUUGCGUUUGCAUCUCUAAUUUCGGCAGGCUUUGAUAUAAAAAGCAAUAUUACAUCACGUGACAUUGUAGAUGGUCACAGAGAAAAAACGCUUUCGUUACUGUGGCAGAUACUCCUGAAGUUUCAGCUACCUAAGUAUGAGGCUGCUGCAGUGAAGCUACAACGUUGGUGGAGAAGAAAUUUGAUCAUAACUAGUGAAGAAUAAGAAAAUCAGCUAUUACAAUUCAGCAGAAAUGUAGAGCAACAAAGUUAAUGAAGUAUGAAAGAAAUAUUUUUCUAAUGAAAAAAGCUGCUGCUGUAGUGAUACAAAAAUGGGCCAGGAAAGUACUGCCCGGGAAACAACAGAGGAGAAUUUUUAUUAGACAAAGGGAGAGUGCAGUAGUUAUUCAGAGGUGGUGGAGAGCAAUUUUAGUACAGCGGCAUC